rnacentral:lncRNA from 1 species
CUUUUGUUAACGCUCUGGCAUCAUGUCUACGCCAGCUCCCGCGCAAUCCGGCGCCAUCGCGCUUUGGGCGAGCAUGGCCAUGGGGAGUAGAGAGGUGGAAACCGAGCUGACGCCUGCCUGACCCUGGCGAUGGUGGCGCGCGCCGGGAAGGACUGAUUGGAGAAUGGCGCCAAAUGGGUCACGGAUGGCGAGGGGGCACAGGAGCUCUCGAUGUGACCUGGCGCUGUGGAUGUGAUGCACAGCAGCUUGAGUGGGACUGCUCCGCUGUCCUCAUGAGAGAACGCUUUUUCUGAAGAUGGGAGGUGGCUAAUGAAAGAAGAGGCAGCAGAUUAAAGGGCAGAGCACUUGCCAGCCUGCUCUACAGAGUGAGUGAGUUCUUGGACAGCCAGUCAGUGCUACACAAAGAAACGCACAGGUAAAACAGCUAUGCCGAAAAAUAAAAAUUUUCAAAAAGUAUCAAGGUUAUGAUUGGAGAAAAUUUU